AUGGGACGAGGUGGUGCAUGUUUCCACACGAAGGCCCCCCGUGCCUGCUGCCCGUCGGGUUAGGAGGCUGCGGAGUAGCAGACAGCACGUGACGAACACCGGUCGCGGGCACAAGAGGAAGACAUGGUACAAAGUGUCGGCGACGUAGGCGCUUGACGAAUACCGGUCGCAGAGACAACGAUGAGGACAUGGUACAGAGUGUCGGCAACGUAGGCGCGUGCAGUCGGCACAGGUAACAGUGCCAAGAAGCCACCCAGUGAGGGCAACUGACCCCGCCCCUUCCUGUUUAGCCUCCACAAAAACUCGAGACUCCCAGAAGAAGGCGUCAUUAUUGGUACGAGCGGCCCAACAAGUGGAGCUCCACUACCACUGUGACCUUGGCUAACCAACCCGAUAUUCAACUGCCUCAAAGAUGGUCGAACUGCUAGUCACAUGGGUUCCAGGAAGGAAAGGGCGGGAUCAGGAGAUCAGACGACGGAAAUGACGUCAGAGGUGGAACAGCUGUCCAUCUUGCAUUCUGCAGAGGGAAGAAGAGAGAAGGCAUUAGGACACAGCACCAACCCCUGGUUUGGUGGGUAACUACCAUCACCAGAGCCAUUGAGCUGCCUCACGAGCACAUGCUCAUGACAAUGUAAAAAGUAAAUCUAUACCUGUGAAGUCCCGAGAAAUGGUAUCCAUUAGAGCAUUGAUGUAUCAAAUAAGAGAGUUGGUGCCACAUUUGGACCCAAGAAGAAGGAUUAUUAUCAUAAUGACAUUGGAGCCAUACAUAGACAAAUAACAAUGGCUAUAUAUUAAAAACAGUAAAAGUUUCUCACAGGAAUAUUACCAAAAGAGAAAAAUGGGAAGCAAAUGUAUUGUUAAUAAAACAACACCAAUCUUUUAAA